AUUGAACGCUGGCGGCAGGCUUAACACAUGCAAGUCGAGCGAGCGGCGGACGGGUGAGAAAUGUCGGGGAAACUGCCUGAUGGAGGGGGAUAAAUACUGGAAACGGUAGCUAAUACCGCAUACCAUCAGAUGUGCCCAGAUGGGAUUAGCUAGUAGGUGGGGUAAAGUCUCACCUAGGCGACGAUCCCUAGCUGGUCUGAGAGGAUGACCAGCCACAGUCGAACUGAGACACGGUCCAGACUCCUACGGGAGGCAGCAGUGGGGAAGAUUGCACAAUGGGCGCAAGCCUGAUGCAGCCAUGCCGCGUGUAUGAAGAAGGCCUUCGGGUUGUAAAGUACUUUCAGCGGGGAGGCGUUACCCGCAGAAGAAGCACCGGCUAACUCCGUGCCAGCAGCCGCGGUAAUUC
rnacentral:rRNA from 1 species